rnacentral:rRNA from 1 species
AGAGCGAACGCUGGCGGCAGGCCUAACACAUGCAAGUCGAGCGCCGUAGCAAUACGGAGCGGCAGACGGGAGAGUAACACGUGGGAACGUACCCUUUGGUUCGGAACAACACAGGGAAACUUGUGCUAAUACCGGAUAAGCCCUUACGGGGAAAGAUUUAUCGCCAAAGGAUCGGCCCGCGUCUGAUUAGCUUGUUGGUGAGGUAACGGCUCACCAAGGCUACGAUCAGUAGCUGGUCUGAGAGGAUGAUCAGCCUCACUGGGACUGAGACACGGCCCAGACUCCUACGGGAGGCAGCAGUGGGGAAUAUUGGACAAUGGGCGCAAGCCUGAUCCAGCCAUGCCGCGUGGAUGAUGAAGGCCUUAGGGUUGUAAAGUCCUUUUAACGGGGAAGAUAAUGACGGUACCCGUAGAAUAAGCCCCGGCUAACUUCGUGCCAGCAGCCGC